GCUCUUCAAUUAUAUCUGAAGACUCAAGAGGCUGUGAAUGGUGGUGAUGGUGGUUAAUCACACAGAAACGAUAAGAAAAUCAGAGAUACAAAUGUUUGAAUCUAACAAAUUUUGUCUUUACAUUUACAAAUUCAGGUCCAUCCCUAUCUAGCUCAAUUUUUCAUAGUUCAUCUAUUUGUCAAUACAAAUUCUGUUCAUUUGGGUUUUAAUUUUGUUUUUGGUUUGAAAUUUUUUUAUUACCUCCGUUUCACCAAAAGUGAUGCUUUCAUUUUUACCUAAGAAAUGGGCCUAAUUCAAAAAGUAAAAGUAUAUAUGUUUUUGGUGAUGGGGUAUGCUUAAGAUGAAGCCUUACUGCGCAUUCAGGAUCGCCAAUACAAGGAAGAACGUAUUGCAUUCAGGAUCCCCAAGACAAGGAAGAAAGUUGCAGCCGGCGUUGAAAAAGAAACAAGUUGUUGGGUUGUGAUGGAAGGCUGAUUGAGCUGCUGCACCCAAAUGAAAGGCAUCAAAGAUGUUGGGGGUCUCAGCGACAGUAAACAACCGAAGUCAAGAAAAAAAGAGGCUCGACAAAGAAAAAAGUUGGCAAUGACCCAAAGAAGAUUAAUAUGAUGCCGGCGGGGGUCAUUCUCCGUGCAUCAUACCUCAACUCAAAGACUAACAAAGCUGUUGGAGAAAGGAUUAUACCUGUUGCUUCUGACAACUCAAAUGAGUAUCACAACAAAGCUCAAAAGGUACUCAGAUACCUUGGUUUUCACUCCUAUAGUUUUGUAUCUUCGACUAGUUCGUAUAGCUUAAGUUAUGUUAAGUUACUCAGGCCAUGUAUGUUUAGCCUAGUUAGACAGAACAAUUCUCAAAAUUUAGUGUCAUUGUCAUUGAUAUAGGUAUUCUGUUCUCGCAACAAAUAAUAUAUAAAAUUCCAUAGUUUACUGGUUCUUCCUUACCAA